rnacentral:ncRNA from 14 species
AAGGGCGCGGCCGUGAAAGGUCCCCGGAGACGGGGUCAAAAGGGAAGCCGGGAUGCGCAACGGGAGGCGCGGAUCCGGCGCUGCCCCCGCAACUGUGACCGGCAAGCCGGUCCCCAUCGAGCCACUGGAUCCGCGACGGAUCUGGGAAGGCGGGGACACAGGCGACGACCCGGAAGCCAGGAGACCUGCCUUUCGCCGUCGAUCCUUC